UUCGCUCUCUUGCCGUCGCGCAACCACCCGCACUUACUCUAUCCCGUCGUCUCCGCCUCGCAUAUCCGUUACACUCCCCCAAUCUAGCGCCCUUCUCCACGGUUAUUCCCGCAAUCUAGCGCCAUCCGCCGUGGUGACGCAUCGGAGGAGCUCGAAUCCGCCGCCGCCGCCGGCGUUUGUGUCCUCCCGCAAUCGAUCCGGCGUCGAGCGGCUUCGCAACGAUGGGGUAUCCAAGUUGUGCAUGAACGGGCGACGGUCACGGAUAUCCCUCGAGAUCGUCUAUGAGAGGUGUUGUUGGUCGGCGGCUUUCUGCAUCUGCAACAUCGUCGUCACCGACGGCAUCGACUGUUCUUCUGCGGCCUGAGAGAAAAUGGGCCGCAACGCGCAUGAUGAUGAUGCCGACGAUUUCAUGCCUGAUAAAAGGGACGAUGUGGAUGCUGGUAAACGAGCUCCGAAGAAGAUAUGUCAGAACAGCCGAUGUUUUCCUCACACGAGCUAGGUGAUGAAGACAUGUACCUAGGAUAGGGACACGGACCUGACCAAAGAGUCCUACUCUAGGACAUCCCUAGGAGAAGUCACCUUUCAAU